rnacentral:rRNA from 1 species
CUGCAUGGCUGUCGUCAGCUCGUGUCGUGAGAUGUUGGGUUAAGUCCCGCAACGAGCGCAACCCUUGCCUUUAGUUGCCAGCAGUUCGGCUGGGCACUCUAAAGGGACUGCCGGUGUUAAACCGGAGGAAGGUGGGGAUGACGUCAAGUCCUCAUGGCCUUUAUGACCAGGGCUACACACGUACUACAAUGGCCGAUACAAAGGGCAGCGACACUGCGAGGUGAAGCCAAUCCCGUAAAAUCGGUCUCAGUCCGGAUUGGAGUCUGCAACUCGACUCCAUGAAGUUGGAAUCGCUAGUAAUCGUGGAUCAGCAUGCCACGGUGAAUACGUUCCCGGGCCUU